rnacentral:rRNA from 1 species
UCGAACGACUUGUUGGGUGCUUGCACCUAACAGGGAGUGGCGGACGGGUGAGUAACACGUGGGAACGUACCUUUCAGUGGGGGAUAACUUUGGGAAACCAAAGCUAAUACCGCAUACGCCCUUAGGGGGAAAGAUUUAUUGCUGAAAGAGCGGCCCGCGGUAGAUUAGGUAGUUGGUGGGGUAAAGGCCUACCAAGCCUUCGAUCUAUAGCUGUUCUGAGAGGAAGAUCAGCCACACUGGGACUGAGACACGGCCCAGACUCCUACGGGAGGCAGCAGUGGGGAAUAUUGGACAAUGGGGGAAACCCUGAUCCAGCAAUGCCGCGUGAGUGAAGAAGGCCUUAGGGUUGUAAAGCUCUUUUGGUGGGGACGAUGAUGACGGUACCCACAGAAUAAGCACCGGC